rnacentral:rRNA from 1 species
AUACGGAGGAUCCAAGCGUUAUCCGGAAUCAUUGGGUUUAAAGGGUCCGUAGGUGGAUAAUUAAGUCAGAGGUGAAAUCCUGCAGCUCAACUGUAGAAUUGCCUUUGAAACUGGUUAUCUUGAGUUAUUAUGAAGUAGUUAGAAUAUGUAGUGUAGCGGUGAAAUGCAUAGAUAUUACAUAGAAUACCGAUUGCGAAGGCAGAUUACUAAUAAUAUACUGACACUGAGGGACGAAAGCGUGGGGAGCGAACAGGAUUAGAUACCCUAGUAGUCC